AUACGGAGGGUGCGAGCGUUGUUCGGAAUCACUGGGCGUAAAGGGCGCGCAGGCGGUCUGUCAAGUCAGAUGUGAAAGCCCACGGCUCAACCGUGGACGUGCAUCUGAAACUGGCAGACUCGAGUACCGGAGGGGAAAGUGGAAUUCCCGGUGUAGAGGUGAAAUUCGUAGAUAUCGGGAGGAAUACCGGAGGCGAAGGCGACUUUCUGGACGGAUACUGACGCUGAGGCGCGAAAGCGUGGGGAGCGAACAGGAUUAGAAACCCUAGUAGUCCC
rnacentral:rRNA from 1 species